GGGCUCACUUCAGCAGCACAUGAACUAAAAUUGGAACAAUACAGCGAAGAUUAGCAUGGCCCCUGUGCAAGGGUGACAUACAAAUUCGUGAAGUGUUCCAUAUUUUA